CCUGAAUGGGCUGAAAAACCGGCCAAAUGGGCCGGAGGGUGUCAGAAUGGAGGCCGGCGGGGGGAGGGGAAACCACUACAGACACACACACACACACCACCUCAAGGAACUCCCUCAAAGGAGAAAAGGGAUACCAAAUGAAGACAGGGAUGCCAAAUCAAAAAGACUCUCUUAAUGCCUCCCAUUGACUAUUCUGUAAGAACUGGGUAUGGCUGAACCCACCCACCCACCCCCAUUAAGGAUCUUCAAAGAGCUGUACUGCACUCCGGAGUUCCUGCAAUAUACAGACCCUCC